GCUGCAUGGCUGUCGUCAGCUCGUGUCGUGAGAUGUUGGGUUAAGUCCCAUAACGAGCGCAACCCUUACCCUUAUUUGCCAGCGAUUCGGUCGGGAACUAUAAGGGGACUGCCGGUGAUAAACCGGAGGAAGGUGAGGACGACGUCAAGUCAUCAUGGCCCUUACGUGUAGGGCUACACACGUGCUACAAUGGGGAGUACAGAUAGACGCUAAAGCGCGAGCUGGUGCUAAUCUCAUAAAACUCUUCGUGGUCCGGAUUGCAGUCUGCAACUCGACUGCAUGAAGUCGGAAUCGCUAGUAAUCGCGAAUCAGCAUGUCGCGGUGAAUACGUUCUCGGGUCUU
rnacentral:rRNA from 1 species